CCCUACAGCACAGUCGUCAGGACUUGCCUUAGACCAUUCGGUGGAAACUUCAAUAUACCAUAAGCCUGGGCGAGCUGACAAUGAUGCAAUGGACACUGACUCUGAGGCAUACCGGGCAUCCAAGGAGGUUGACGGCGAUUCAUCAGUUUCCAUUCCGGCUCAAGUCAUAAUGCCGAUAUGCAAAAAUAGUGUUACAGAUUCAGCCACUGAGAGCUAUCCGACAUCAGACGUUGAGGUAGUAGUGGAAUGCACAGUGCAACAGGUACAACCUCCAGCAUAUCUACAACAACAGACGGAGUCUCAGAAGGUGCAGCAGAUACAAGCUCCAACAUAACUAUCCCC